CAGUCGCCGCGGGAAUACGGAGGGUGCGAGCGUUAAUCGGAAUAACUGGGCGUAAAGGGCACGCAGGCGGUGACUUAAGUGAGGUGUGAAAGCCCCGGGCUUAACCUGGGAAUUGCAUUUCAUACUGGGUCGCUAGAGUACUUUAGGGAGGGGUAGAAUUCCACGUGUAGCGGUGAAAUGCGUAGAGAUGUGGAGGAAUACCGAAGGCGAAGGCAGCCCCUUGGGAAUGUACUGACGCUCAUGUGCGAAAGCGUGGGGAGCAAACAGGAUUAGAUACCCCUGUAGUCCCUGUCUCUUAUAC
rnacentral:rRNA from 1 species